UACGUAGGGGGCAAGCGUUGUCCGGAUUUAUUGGGCGUAAAGAGCGUGUAGGCGGCCAGACAGGUCCGCUGUGAAAACUCGAGGCUCAACCUCGAGAUGUCGGUGGAAACCGUCUGGCUAGAGUCCGGAAGAGGAGAGUGGAAUUCCCGGUGUAGCGGUGAAAUGCGCAGAUAUCAGGAAGAACACCCGUGGCUAAGGCGGCUCUCUAGUACGGUACUGACGCUGAGACGCGAAAGCGUGGGGAGCGAACAGG
rnacentral:rRNA from 1 species